ensembl:lncRNA
GUUGGCGGAUAUUGAUCAAGGAGAGAGUGACAAUGAAUCAACAGCAGUCCCCAAAAAACUGCAUCCAUCCUUUCCCUCGGCGCCAUCUUGUUCAAUCCUCCUGAGCCUGCAGCUUCCACCUUCUCCUCACCAAUCACCAGCUCGGGGGGGGGGGGGGGAGCGGCUGAUGUCCCUGAAGCAGCAUGAAGCCACAGGCUGAUCUGGUUACACUGUUGUAGAUCCAAAUGGUCUCCAGUAUCGAUCUAGGGACACAUCAAUUCUCCCACUUCCUACAUCCUCCUUGGAGAUCAGCCCCACGGCACCUCCGACCGAAGCCCCUAAAGCCCCUUCUGAUGACUCUGGCUUUCUUUCAUGUCGUAUCCUCGUGGGCCUUUAAAUACAGUUUUUAUUGCGCGUCGCCAUCGCGGUUCGAGUAAAGCCACUGUUGAUGUACAGGUAGUGAUGGGCCUUGACUCAUCUGUUGAGUAAAUGGUAGUAAUUAACAUUUGUGGUCUCCAACCAUGUUGUUGAUGCUGUUUGAUCCCAGCGACAGUGUAACAGAGAUGAACUACAUCUCUAGGCUGAAAUGUAUCCUUCCAACGGCCAGAAAUAGAAAGAUGUCCUCUGAACGUGGGCUCUAUUUGCAGUGUUUCGGAUAUAUGGAUCCGUGCUGACGGGGGCCUUGGGUAGGAUACGUGUAUUUUUCUCUGUGCGUAUAAUAUUUCCAGCCUUAUGGAGUGCAAGGUCACUAGUAGAACACAAUCUCAAUGAAGAUGACUUGCCGUCCAGCGGAAGUCGCCACAGUGAGCGACCCAAGAGCAACAAGACAGAAGGUUUACGAGGUUUUGUUUAUUGUGCCGAAACGUCUUUCCGAGCCUUCCUCACAGCGAAGGUGUAACUGAUCCCUGACGACAUAUUUGUUCUAGUGUGCCUGAAAUAACUGAAAUCACUGCAUCAUGAAUUAAACCUCUUGGAACGGCGGAGGCCUAUUGUCGCGUUGUACAAACUGCAGGUGCCAGAAGAAAUGAAAAUCAUGGAAGUUUAUUAUCUUUUAUUCUUAGGCUCCUUUUUGCUUCGUAGUGUAGACAGGAAGGUAAAACAGAAGGUGUUCUUCAAUAUUUGUCGGUAUUGAAAAUGACCUGUACCCGUGUAAGCCGUAGACCGCGCAUAAGAAGUGGACGUAGUCGCUGUGACGUCACUCAUUGGUUUGGGGACUGCCGUUAUGAAACCCUUAUUUAGGCAAUUCUGCCACCGCUACAUUUACUCUUUUUUUUCAACAGAUGAAAGGAAGUGAACGGACCGUAUUUGGAGAGAAGAAGAAUAACGUAGUGAUACUGUAGAAAGCAUACUUUGCUUAAUGCUUAUAGAGAAGUCGCCUCCUUCUGGUCAGUAGCGAGAAUGCAGGUUGGCCCUGCAGAACCAGAAGUUGCCCCUUGUUGCUGAUAGGACCUAAUUGCGGUAUUCCUGUUGGUUUAAGAUAGAUAUUCCUUUGGUAAGGCUAACCGUACCAUCGGAGUUUCAUAGUAGUUACAGUUUAAAAGUGCAACAUUUAUAACAUUUAGAUUUUACACAUGUUGUAUUACUCCCACCAACCAUAUAGUUCAUUGCACAAUGCAAAUACUACAUGGUCGAGUGGAGUGGGACUGAAAAGUUCCUUUUCAAUCUGGGUAUAGGUCUCCAUCAGCUAUAGCUUUAGGUUACUAUGCAGUGGUGUAUCAAUAUUCAUUUAAUGUAGGAUCUUAUCAGCUUGUCAUCAAAUAAGUGCUUUUUAUACAUUAUUCAAAGACACAUGAGUAUUACUAAAUGAGUAUUUAAUGACUAAAUAAUCAUUUAGUUCCUAAGUGAGAGAGUUUUCGUCAUUUUGUGUGUUAUUGUUAUUCUGGAAAUUAAGCUAAAAUCUAGAUCUAGAAGAAAAGAUCAUGUGUACUAGCUGCAGAGUAAUCUUUUCAAUGGACUUAAAUACAGUUUUUCUGAUUGUGCUAAAGAUUCCUCGGAUGAUUUUUGGAGAUUCUGCUCUGCAUUGGAUUUGAAAUGAAAUACAGACUGAGGUUAAAGUAAUGACUUUCAGCCAUAUGGGUCUUUCAAAGUAUUCAAAUCCACGGGGAAUGAACAAUGUGGGAAGCAAGCUAUACAUAUUUCCUCUAAAUUUGGAUUACAGCUCAUAUAAAGUUUGUCCCACUUAGUGCAAACAGCCCUGAGUUCAAGUUGAAAGUCUGCCACAGAGACUGAAAGUUGAAGAUUUAUUGCCUUUUUUUCAACCUGGCAAUCUCUGGUGAUAGAAGGAUGGAUGAAGAUUUGUUUUUUUUUUGGCUAUUCAUCUGAAGAGAAUGAGUGACUUAUGGGUGGUUGUUUGCCUACUGAAUAUAACACCCAGGUCACCGCCACGUUGUGGAAAACGGGCUUGCGAUGGAAGGGCAGUGGGUGAAGAAUUGAAACUGGUGGAACACAUUUCUCCUCUUAAAAGUGCAGUUGUUGCUGGAUAUAAAACGCAGAUGUUGCACUGUUUGGACACAGAUAAGUCCAGUCCAGACAAGAAACUUCAGUGCGACCGUGGUGUGAUCUUACAACUGCACACGUAUUUCUUAUCUUGGUGCUUUCGGGGUGACAGAUUGGGGCCGAUGUAACAGUCAGAGCUGCACGGAGAGGCGUGUACAGUCCAGAGGGUGGAUGCCAUGUGUUUUUAACAAUCUGCCAAGAAAAGGAUAGAACAGCACCUGUGGCUGGUUACACAUCUAAAAACAUGAGUUAUGGUUCCCGCUCCAAACUAUAGGCGGAGAUGCAUUCACCCUUCACCAACAUUAAAACCACAAAAAGUACUCGCUGAGAUCUGGCCGUGAGCCAAAGCUGCAGAGGAAUGCACACUUCUCUCCUGGCAGGCAGUCUUUACGCUGUCACAUUCAUGCCCUGGUUUUGUUAUUUUUCUCCUUGGUUAACUUCAACUCUGGAAGAUUUCCCACGUCAAGAAUGUUCGGCUCAGAUGCCAGAGGUUCAAAGAGAAGAAUAAAAAUGGAUAUUUAAGCUAAUGAUCCCAUCAGUCAUUUAACUGUCCUUGUUAUGUGAAUUAUUACCAUAACCAGCAAGCUUUUUCUUCCAGAGAGCACGCACAUUUAUGUAAAACAGAUGAAUGAGUGAAUCCCAACCAAACCUUUUCACAACCAACAUUCCUGGUUCAUGUUUUACCCACGGAACAGUUCAAGCUGUGAUCAACGGCUUGGAUUUGGAAUUUCCUGCUGACAUUUAUUUAGUCUGUCAGUACAUUUUAAGUCAGUUUGUGUGGAUGGUGGGUGAAGUCACCUAAACAACCAAUUAUUCAUGUUGGGGAUAUGGAGUAAUAACGUCGCCGACCUCUUCACCUUUAAACUUUAAACUACCGCCAUCGGUUCUGAAUUACAAUCUGUCCAAUGGUUUGGUUUGUGAACAAAUACUUAACUGACAUCCCUGUCAGCCGCACCACUCUGUGUUUAUGGCUAAUUAUCCCAUGAAAACAUUGUUGAACUGAGUUUAAAAGUAAGUGAACGUGGUAAACAUUACACCUGUUAAACAUCAGCAAGUCAGCGCUAUCAUCGCAAGCAUGUUUGCAUGCUGACGUUAGCAUUCUGCUCCAAGCCCCACAGGUCCUAACCAGCUCCAGACUCACUGUAUCAUCUGCAUGCAUCAUGGCCGGAGACACGCACUCAGUAACAACCACCAAGCCCCUCCUGCCCGUGGCAUAUGUGUUUAUUAUUAGGACCACGGUGCAUUUUCCAGUUUGAUGCAGGAAAAAUGAUGGGCAGGCUUGUUAGUAAUCUGUUCAAUAUAUUCAUGUGUUUCCUGUUGAAUGACAGUUAUCCUUCCGAACAGAACAAUCAUUUGAAAAUGCAUCAUAAAUACAGCGUGACUGCACAGUAGUACAAAUACUGUGGGAAAGAGGAAAUGAGUGUCUGUCCACCAUAUGGACUUAAAUAAGUAAACUAACGAUUCAUUUUUGGUCGGCUAUGAAUGUGACUUCCCUCUUCCUAGAAAAGCUACCCAGGCCUUCAUGCACCCAAUUGUGCACUAUUACGAGCUGACGUUUGAAUUGCAGGUCCUGCAUGAGCAGCUCUAACCGAAUACUGCUCAUGACCCCGACGCACAUGUGCGGGUUGACCGUAUCUUUACAACCUGCACCCCCGGAGGCUCGUGUUCCGCGCUCCCUCCUCGUACCGGACAGCCAGAGAGCUGCAGCGAAGCAUCCGAGGCCCGUCUCAGUGUCCCGUUGCUGACCCAACACUCGCAGGCACUAAACCCCGGCACCCGGGCCCCCCCUUCGUAAACGUACAGGACCAGACGGAGACGUACAGCCGGUGGUCAGAGCGUGCUUCGCCCUCAGAUCCCCUGCUGUCAUGGUGUACGUAGCACCGUGCUGUAAAACGCGUGACCCCCCCUCGAUGACCCCGACGUGGCUGUGGCCCAGAAGCUGAAAGGUUCAGCGGAUAAGAGCAACAAAGACAGGUUGUAUUUGCACAGGUGAUGUUGUAUACAGGUCAUUUUUACUGACACACUUGCUGCAAAAGGAUAUAAUUUCUCAACUCAUUUCAUCUAAUAUAUAUGUAUAUAUUUGAAAUGCAUAUCUUAGUCCAAGUGGUAAAUUUCUCUCAGAUGAGUGUGAUCAGUCAGAUGUUUCUACUGCAGGAUUAGGAUUUUAGAAACUAGUGUGUGUAUCAGAAAAACAAGACUUUUUUUAAUACAUCUUUUCAAGCACACCCCUACAAAGCCGUGCCCAUCCCAUUGAGUCAUUUCUAGUUGGGUAUGAGGGGAUCACUUUUGCAAAAAGCCUUUUUCAGAAUUACCCAUACAACCAAUAAUGUGUACUGGCUCCUCAGAAUAAUCACAGACCUCAGUGUGAACAGCUGGAACUAAAACUAAUCUAUCUAAAGAAAUUGUCUUCAUGUUGAAAGUGAGGUCUGUGGAUUAUCUGAGAUGUAUUUGUUCGGAAAAGAAAAGCUCCUGUUGAGUUUUUCCAAUCUCAUUUUCUAAUGCUUGAAGCGGCACAUAAAAAAAAUCCAAUUUCCUUUUUUCUCACUUUAUUGACGCAGCAGCAGGAAGAUGUACAUCUCUCAAAACUUGGGAAGACAGCCUUUAUCUCGUUUUUCUGAUCAGAUAAAGGCUUCAGGUGAUUGAAUCAGGAGGUGUCAGGGCACCAUGGAUAUUGCUCCAUUGCUCUGCUGCUCUGAAGCUGGACUGAGGAUAGUUUCUGAUGUUACAUCAAGCCAAUUACCAUCAACAUUUACAUAAAGAUUUGACUCAUUAAAACGCUCAUGAGGGUGGACUAAACGUUUUACUUUCUUUCUUACUUUUAUUUACAUUUUACCUCGCUUUAGAUUUUCUACACAUGAAAAAACAGCCUAAUUAGUUGAGCAAAAGGAGAUAAUUGUACAAGCUGUGGUGCAAAAUUGAUUUAGUGAACUAUGCAUUGUUGUCUUUUAAAUGUGUUGCAUAUGUAUCCUGUGUCUUAUCACCUGUUGUUGCCACAAUCAUUUUGUUAAAUCUAAAAAAUCAAGAUAAGAUUAUGGUUAAAAGAUAUGGUUGUAAAGAGUUUCAUUUUUGCCAGUAAGUAAUGACAUGGUUCCUUGAUCCCUGAGCUACUUCUCUCCCUGCUGUGAAGCGACGCCUCAGAUGAGCCUCAGCGAUCAAGAGAAGUAGUUUUUAUCUGCUUUCUUACCGACAUUUCUCUCCGUCCUCUUCAGCUAACCACUAUAAUCAACCAAAUGGAUGAGCUGCUUCACUCACUUGGUAACAUCGAUGGAAUAUUGAUGCCGUGGUGUGAUUUUCAAACCAUUUCCUGUUCCUCGAGUGCAUUGAGCACCUCGGCGGAUAAAUGUGCCGUUUUCUCAUCGUUGAUCAGACGAGCCGCUGUUAUGAUGCACAAUUUGCGAUUCAAAUGUAUUCAAAUUUGAGAAUGCAAUUAUAUUUCUGCUGCUUGUUCAAAUACAAUAUAUACAGCGUCUGCAUAAUACCCCGCAGAAGGAGACAUUUACAUUUCGGUUGCGUUGGACAUUUUUUAGCCUUUUAUUCGGUCUGUAUUAUCGCUCCCACGCUGUUUGAGGAGAGUUUAUUAAUUGUUGUCCUCACCCCGGAGUUGAUUAUUAUGUGUAAAGUUAGAAAGUACAUUUGUGUAUCGUGUUUCUUGUGUAUUGUGCUAUUUUUUUUACCCCCCGUAGUGAUCCGAGGCCAUAACCAUGGUUGGGUUGGUCAUGUUCACUCAUCCAGCUUACAUGUCCUGUAAAUCCUAAACCCAGGCACAAAACAAUGCGUGUGCACGUGAAUGUUUGAGUAAUAAAAUGUACUCGGCUCCACACGACAAAUCCGGAUUUUCAGUCCUGUUUUUCGCAUUAUCUAGUUUUCCAGCAGACGCCAUCACAGGCGGCUCUUUACACAACAUGCAACUCAAUAACCUCACUAAAGCCCUUCAUGCGGCUUCUCCGCUCAGCCGUACGUUUACUUCCUCGGGGGAAAAGG